rnacentral:hammerhead_ribozyme from 1 species
AUCCAGUUGACGAGUCCCAAAUAGGACGAAAUGCGCGUUGUCCUGUAU